CUAGGAAACAAACACAAGAAUAUAUUUGCAUAAUUUUCACAGUUGUUUUCUCUGGUUACAGCAUAGUCAUGAAGAACUCCGGGAAGGUGAAGAAUAAUGGUCAUGAACUGCAUGAGUUUGUACCUGAAAGAAUUUCUGCAUAUAUCAGUCAAAAUGAUGUUCAUAUUGGAGAAAUGACAGUCAGAGGAGCCAUGGCUUUCUCUGCUUGAUACCAAGGGAGAUGUGGCAGAGCUGUCAAGAAGAGAGAAUUAUGCAAAAAUUAAGCAUAAUCCUGAUAUCGAUGUCUACAUGAAGUCUGCAGCAAGUGAAGGACAAGAAGCAAGUGUAGUCACAGAUUAUGCUCGCAAGGUGUACUAACGGGGAACAUUUCUUUAACAUUUACACAUAGAGGUGAAAUUGGGCGGGUUAUAGGUUGAGCAAGGGGUCGACUAUUGUACAUAAAAAACAAAUAUAAAAACUAAUACCAUCUCAUUUCAAGCGAAUAAAGAAGAACCUCAGGGGCACCAUAUCAACGUGCAGUAACAUACUCUCUAUAUGGUGGUUGAUCAUUCGUCUCACAGGCUUGACCAAGAUUACCAAUCUUUACUAAAGAAUUUGUGACAAGAAGACUGCAUUCCAUGCAUUCAAAUACCAAGAAUAACGUAUCGUUUUCUC